rnacentral:rRNA from 1 species
GUUAAAAAGCUCGUAGUUGGAUUUCUGUGAGAGUAUGAUGUCCUAACGUGUUUAGAGCGCAGAAAACUCUUGCAUCCUUCUGUUACCUCCACGUGGCAUUCGCUUGCCAGUGGUUGGCUCAGAGAAUCUACCUUGAGAAAAUUAGAGUGUUUCAGGCAGGCUUAGUCGGAAUACAUUAGCAUGGAAUAAUAGAAUAGGACUCCGGUCUCGUUGUUGGUUUGAGGGACUGUAGUAAUGAUUAAUAGGGAUAGUUGGGGGCAUUAGUAUUCGGUUGUCAGAGGUGAAAUUCUCAGACUUAUUGAAGACUAACUUAUGCGAAAGCAUUUGCCAAGGAUGUUUUCAUUAAUCAAGAACGAAAGUUAGGGGAUCAAAGACGAUCAGAUACCGUCCUAGUCUUAACCAUAAACUAUGCCGACUCGGGAUUGGGGGCGUGUUAUUAUCCGCCUUCAGCACCGUAUGAGAAAUCAAAGUCUUUGGGUUCUGG